rnacentral:rRNA from 1 species
GAUGAACGCUGGCGGCGUGCCUAAUACAUGCAAGUCGAGCGAACAGACGAGGAGCUUGCUCCUCUGACGUUAGCGGCGGACGGGUGAGUAACACGUGGAUAACCUACCUAUAAGACUGGGAUAACUUCGGGAAACCGGAGCUAAUACCGGAUAAUAUAUUGAACCGCAUGGUUCAAUAGUGAAAGACGGUUUUGCUGUCACUUAUAGAUGGAUCCGCGCCGCAUUAGCUAGUUGGUAAGGUAACGGCUUACCAAGGCAACGAUGCGUAGCCGACCUGAGAGAGUGAUCGGCCACACUGGAACUGAGACACGGUCCAGACUCCUAAGGGAGGCAGCAGUAGGGAAUCUUCCGCAAUGGGCGAAAGCCUGACGGAGCAACGCCGCGUGAGUGAUGAAGGUCUUCGGAUCGUAAAACUCUGUUAUUAGGGAAGAACGAAUGUGUAAGUAACUAUGCACGUCUUGACGGUACCUAAUCAGAAAGCCACGGCUAACUACGUG